AUACACCGGUUCCCGUACGAUCGCCAAAGUUAAGCAACCUCAAAUCUGAGUAGUACUUACAUGGGUGACCACUUAGUAAUACAAGGUGCUGUAAG